rnacentral:rRNA from 1 species
AGAGUUUGAUCCUGGCUCAGGACGAACGCUAGCGGCAGGCUUAACACAUGCAAGUCGAGGGGUAACAGGGAGUGCUUGCACUCCGCUGACGACCGGCGCACGGGUGCGUAACGCGUAUGCAACCUACCUUUUACAGGGGGAUAGUCAAUAGAAAUGUUGAAUAAUACCCCAUACGAUCUUUGAGGAGCAUUUCUUAGAGAGGAAAACUACGGUGGUAAAAGAUGGGCAUGCGUCCUAUUAGCUAGUUGGUAAGGUAACGGCUUACCAAGACAGCGAUGGGUAGGGGCCCUGAGAGGGGGAUCCCCCACACUGGUACUGAGACACGGACCAGACUCCUACGGGAGGCAGCAGUGAGGAAUAUUGGACAAUGGGCGGAAGCCUGAUCCAGCCAUGCCGCGUGCAGGAAGACGGCCCUAUGGGUUGUAAACUGCUUUUGUACGGGAAGAAACACCCCCACGUGUGGGGACUUGACGGUACCGUAAGAAUAAGCAUCGGCUAACUCCGUGCCAGCAGCCGCGGUAAUACGGAGGAUGCAAGCGUUAUCCGGAAUCAUUGGGUUUAAAGGGUCCGUAGGCGGACAAUUAAGUCAGAGGUGAAAGUCUGCGGCUCAACCGUAGGACUGCCUUUGAUACUGGUUGUCUUGAAUCGUUGUGAAGUGGUUAGAAUGAGCAGUGUAGCGGUGAAAUGCUUAGAGAUUGCUCAGAAUACCGAUUGCGAAGGCAGAUCACUAACAACGUAUUGACGCUGAGGGACGAAAGCGUGGGGAGCGAACAGGGUUAGAUACCCUGGUAGUCCACGCCGUAAACGAUGGAUACUAGCUGUCCGGUCUUCGGACUGGGUGGCCAGGCGAAAGUGAUAAGUAUCCCACCUGGGGAGUACGUUCGCAAGAAUGAAACUCAAAGGAAUUGACGG